rnacentral:rRNA from 1 species
AAGGAAUAUUGGACAAUGGAGGAAACUCUGAUCCAGCCAUGCCGCGUGUGUGAAGAAGGCCUUAGGGUUGUAAAGCUCUUUCAAUAGUGAGGAUAAUGACGGUAGCUAUAGAAGAAGCCCCGGCUAAAUUCGUGCCAGCAGCCGCGGUAAUACGAAUGGGGCAAGCGUUGUUCGGAAUCACUGGGCUUAAAGCGUGCGUAGGCGGAUUUGCAAGUCAGAAGUGAAAUCCCGGGGCUUAACCUCGGAACUGCUUUUGAAACUGCAAGUCUAGAAUCCGGUAGAGGUUAGGAGAAUUCCGAGUGUAGAGGUAAAAUUCGCAGAUAUUCGGAGGAAUACCAGUGGCGAAGGCGCCUAACUGGGCCGGCAUUGACGCUCAUGUACGAAAGCGUGGGGAGCAAAC